rnacentral:rRNA from 1 species
AGUGAACGCUGGCGGUAGGCCUAACACAUGCAAGUCGAACGGCAGCGCAGUAAGAGCUUGCUCUUACGGGUGGCGAGUGGCGGACGGGUGAGGAAUACAUCGGAAUCUACUUUUUCGUGGGGGAUAACGUAGGGAAACUUACGCUAAUACCGCAUACGACCUACGGGUGAAAGCAGGGGAUCUUCGGACCUUGCGCGAUUGAAUGAGCCGAUGUCGGACUAGCUAGUUGGCGGGGUAAAGGCCCACCAAGGCGACGAUCCGUAGCUGGUCUGAGAGGAUGAUCAGCCACACUGGAACUGAGACACGGUCCAGACUCCUACGGGAGGCAGCAGUGGGGAAUAUUGGACAAUGGGCGCAAGCCUGAUCCAGCCAUACCGCGUGGGUGAAGAAGGCCUUCGGGUUGUAAAGCCCUUUUGUUGGGAAAGAAAAGCAGCAGGUUAAUACCCCGCUGUUCUGACGGUACCCAAAGAAUAAGCACCGGCUAACUUCGUG